UACAGAGGUGGCAAGCGUUGUUCGGAAUUACUGGGCGUAAAGGGCGAGUAGGCGGCCUUCUAAGUCAGACGUGAAAUCCCCCGGCUUAACCUGGGAACUGCGUCUGAUACUGGGAGGCUAGAGUAUGGGAGAGGGAUGUAGAAUUCCAGGUGUAGCGGUGAAAUGCGUAGAUAUCUGGAGGAACACCGGUGGCGAAGGCGGCAUCCUGGACCGACACUGACACUGAGGAGCGAAAGCCAGGGGAGCAAACGGG
rnacentral:rRNA from 1 species